rnacentral:pre_miRNA from 1 species
UGUUAAAAGUUUCAUCCCUCUAUAUUCUUAAAAACUGUCUUGAUUGAUGAAAUAAUCAAACAUAGACAUGUGUUGUGUCACAUAUACUUCAUGCUGAAGUACAAGACUAGUUUUUAAUAAUUUUUAACAGGACUAGUUUUAACAGUAGAAAUUAAUGGAAUUUUUAGCA